GAUGACAUCAAAUACCAACUACCCAUACGAAAUGGGCCAAAUGGCUGAUAAUGGGCAAGCUCUUGAACCAGAUUAUCUGGAUGUUCAUUCCAGCAAGAGAAGAGAACCUGAUUCAGGGCUUUCCUUAUCUUCUGGAGAAACACAGCUUGAGUCGGUGGAUAGAGGAUACCAAGUUGCCCCUCAACCUGAUACGAGCUUGCAACAUGUUACCUCUCAAUUUCAUGAUGCUCUAAGGAUUGGUUCCACUUCUAUUCAGCAUAACAAUGAAAAGGAUCAAAAUGAUUUGGGUG
rnacentral:misc_RNA from 1 species